GUGUUGUAUGGGAUGAGAGAUGGUUGGGACAAGGAUGGGAUGGGCCCUGUCCUUGUUUGUGUGUUGCCCCUGUCCCAAUUGUUUUUU
rnacentral:ncRNA from 1 species